UAUACUCUUUACAGCUUAAUUUUAUUAACUUUAUUAAAAACCCUAACUUGGCUUAAUACAGACAAGCUGGGCAUUAAUACAGGGCCAUUACAGAAAAACAGGGCCAUUACAGAAAAAACAGGGCCAUUACAGAAAAACAGGGCCAUUACAGAAAAACAGGGCCAUUACAGAAAAAAACAGGGCCAUUACAGAAAAACAGGGCCAUUACAGAAAAUAUGUUAUUUUUAAUAACCAGUCAUUUUUGGCAAUAGUGUACUUAGUUGGUUAAUAAA
rnacentral:lncRNA from 1 species